CGAUCCCCGCACACACACAAGGGACAAUUUUUACAUCUAUACCAAACCAAUCAGCCUACAAACCUGUACGUCUUUAAAAUGUGGGAGGAAACCAGAGAUCCCUCAGAAAACCCACACAGGUCGCGGGGAGAACGUACAAACUCCGUACAGACAGCACCCGUAGUCAGGAUCGAACCUGGGUCUUUGGCGCUGUGAGGCAGCAACUCUACCACUGCGUCACUGUGCCACCCUGUGUGUAAUUGUGCAGUGGUUUGGAGUUCAGCUCUUCAACUAAUGGCCUCUCAACAUCUUGUUUAGGAAGGAACUGCAGGUGCUGGUUUACACCAAAGAUGGAGACAAAAUGCUGGAGUAACUCAGCGGGACAGGCAGCUUCUCUGGAGAGAAGGAAUGGGUGAUGUCUUGGGUCGAGACCCUUCCUCAUUCUGAGAGUCUGGGGAGAGGGAAACUAGAGAAUUGCACCCGUAAUUCACCAGUCUGUACAAACCCAGCCGCGAUCCCAAAACGUUGCCGACUUCAUCCAAACCUAUUCCCAUUCUGCUUUGAAAUUCCAGGGUCCCCGAAAAUCCAUGCCGAAUGCCGAAUUAUUUAAUAAGCGGCAGAUUUGAAGGUGUCCAGGACAAAAACAGAUGAUGCCCACCCCUGUUGAGUGAAGGCAGGUGCUCAUUGAAAGAGCCUCUCAAUAAAAACAAGCUCUGUGGGAAUCAAAAGCUGCAGUCAACAUGAAAUGUUAACCUCCUCGGUGGAACAGUGGAACUAUGUUAAUAAAGAUUUACUCGAGCAGGUAGGAGAUGUUUGAUCAAUUAUAACACUGAGAUGUAACGGGGAAAGAAACACUUCACAUCCAAAGAACCUCCCUGUAGAGUCCCCAUUGCCUCUCAGAGCAGCUUUGCCAAAGGAGUCAAAUUGCUAUUGAGUCUAAUAAGCCACUGUAUAUAAAUCAGCUGUAGAUUUCAAAUAUUACCGCACCAUUAUUGUGCACUAGUGCAAGCGCAUUCAUUUUGUUCAUCUCUGAGGCUAAGUUGUGCAGGAAGGAACUGCAGAUGCUGUUUUAAACUGAAGAUAGCUGAAGUAACUCAGCGGAUCAGACAGCAUCUCUAGAUGGGGUAGAUCUCUGGAUGAGUAGACCCGAUGGGCCGAAUGGCAAACAUUCUACUCCCAUCACAUGUGAUCUUAUGAAUGCCUCCAGCGUCUUUCAGGUAGGCUGCAGGAGGUUGGUCCCGGGACACACAGAUGGCCGGAGAGAAGGAGAGAGAGUGACGAUGGUUCACAGUCCGAGCCGGUCGUGAUCGACGGAGGGGAUGGGGAACCGCUCUGGCGGAACGAACACACAGGAACGCCGACUUUGAACUCGAUAACAUGGAGCCAAACAUGGUGGUGUCGACAUUAUAUGCAAAAUUUGUUUCAGUGUGUAAUGUUUAAUUGCAUAUAAAUCCAAUUUUGCAAUAAUGCACCAAUCGCAAUAAAUAUCCAAUGAGCCAUAGUACGUUGCAGGUUGGGGAAUUCUGCCAUGCAUCCAUUAAAUGAUGCGAUUGGUCAAGUAUAUGUACAAUGCCUGCAUUUUGAAAGCUGCAUUUCUAUACCAGCGUGUCAGAAGGAACUGCAGAUGCGGGUUUAGACCGAAGAUAGACACAACAAGCUGGACUAACUCAGUGAACCAGAGAGCAAUGCUGAAGUAGUAUCUACCGCUUUGGUGACCCUCAGACUGUCCUUAGACAAUAGGUGCAGGAGUAGGUCAUUUGACCCUUCAAGCCAGCACCGCCAUUUAAUGUGAUCAUGGCUGAUCAUCCCCAAUCAGUUCCCCGUUCCUGCCUUCUCCCCAUAUCCCCUGACUCCGCUAUUUUUAAGAGCCCUAUCUAGCUCUCUCUUGAAAGCAUCCAGAGAACUGGCCUCCACCGCCCUCUGAGGCAGAGAAUUCCACACUCACCACUCUCUGUGAGAAAAAGUGUUUCCUCGUCUCCGUUCUGAAUGACUUACUCCUUGUUCUGUCUUUGCCUUGCACUAAACGUUAUUCCAUUAUCAUGUAUCUAUACACUGUAAAUGGCUCGAUUGUAAUCAUGUAUUGGUUUUCCGCUGACUGGAUAGCACGCAACAAAAGCUUUUCACUGAGACCCUUCGUUU